UUUUAUCAGAUUUUUCAAGACAUUAUUCAUAUCCUAACCUUGUUCUUUGGACAGAUCUGAGAGGAUUGGAUCUGCGGAUUGGUUCUUUCACCUUGAGGCAAAUUAAAGCUGGCACUAAUAACUUUGAUCCUCUAAACAAAAUCGGAGAAGGUGGUUUUGGUCCCGUAUACAAGGUGAAAGACUAUCUUAAGCAAAAUGAAGCGCUCCAAGGAAUCUUAGAUAAGUUAAGAACUGACCAGGCCAAGGGGUUGCUCGACUCCCAUCAUAAUGGCUCUAACAAGACUGGUUUAGCUGAAUAUACACCUGAAGUUCUCUCUAUCAAGGAUCAACUUGCAAAAGAACAGAGCAAAGCAGAGGCAUUAUCAGCUGUUGUAUAUGGAGAAGUUUAGAAGACUUCAAUCUUGUUCUUAAUUUUCUUUUGUUGUUGUAUAUGGAGAAGUUUAGGCCAUACGUCCCCUUCUCCCUACUCUUUGUACUCUUUUUAUCAAUAGUAUUAAUGAGAAUUUUCUUUUGCUUA